rnacentral:rRNA from 1 species
CGUAGGUGGCAAGCGUUGUCCGGAUUUAUGGGUUUAAAGGGUGCGUAGGCGGCCCUGUAAGUCAGUGGUGAAAUGCUCUAGCUUAACUAGAGAGGUGCCAAUGAUACUGCAGGGCUUGAGUACAGAUGAGGUAGGCGGAAUUGACGGUGUAGCGGUGAAAUGCAUAGAUAUCGUCAAGAACACCUAUAGCGAAGGCAGCUUACUGGGCUGUAACUGACGCUGAGGCACGAAAGUGUGGGGAUCAAACAGGAUUAGAUACCCUGGUAGUCCACACUGUAAACGUUGAUUACUCGCUGUUUGCGAUACACAGCAAGCGGCUUAGCGAAAGCGAUAAGUAAUCCACCUGGGGAGUACGCCGGCAACGGUG